rnacentral:rRNA from 1 species
UGGGGAAUAUUGCACAAUGGGGGAAACCCCGAUGCAGCGACGCCGCGUGAAGGAAGAAGUAUCUCGGUAUGUAAACUUCUAUCAGCAGGGAAGAUAGUGACGGUACCUGACUAAGAAGCCCCGGCUAACUACGUGCC